rnacentral:lncRNA from 1 species
AAAAAUCAUUUUCCUCAAGUUCGCCUUCGAGUUCUCCUUCUCAGACUCCUCCUCCUCAGCUCCUCAACGGAGUCCUGAAAUGUUUUCCCCAAACUGGGAUGAGACUACGUCUCAGCGAGUUCUACCCCACUAAGCUCGAUUAGUAAACCAUUAUACUACAGGCUGCCUAAACACGUAUAGAGCAGAAGACUUACCUUGGCCUCAGAUUCCACCUGCAAGUCAGUACAAUUCACAUACCUUAUGUAUAGAAUCGAUACAUCCAGCAAUUGAAACGCAUCACUCAACUCAAUAAAU